UGGGUCUCGCUCGUUGCCUGACUUAACAGGAUGCUUCACAGUACGAACUGACGACGGCCAUGCACCACCUCUCAGCUAAUCCGGCAAAGUCUUCAGCCUGGCCUUCAUAUUGCUGUCGGUCCCGGUAAGAUUUCCGGCGUUGAAUCCAAUUAAACCGCAAGCUCCACCCGUUGUGGUGCUCCCCCGCCAAUUCCUUUAAGUUUCAGCCUUGCGGCCGUACUUCCCAGGUGGCUCGCUUCACGGCUUCCCUACGGCACCGACAACGGUCGCACCGUGGCCGACACCUAGCGAGUAUCGUUUACGGCUAGGACUACCCGGGUAUCUAAUCCGGUUCGUGCCCCUAGCUUUCGUCCCUUGCCGUCAGGUCCGUUCUGGUGAGACGCCUUCGCCACUGGUGGUCCUUCAAGGAUUACAAGAUUUCACCCCUACCCCUGAAGUACCUCUCACCUCUCCCGGCCUCGAGCCAGACAGUAUCUCCUGAAAGCCUGACAGUUAAGCUGCCAGAUUUCUCAAGAGACUUAUCCGGCCGGCUACAGACCCUUUAGACCCAAUAAUAACGGUUACCACUCGAGCCGCCGGUGUUACCGCGGCGGCUGGCACCGGUCUUGCCCGGCCCUUGCUAUGAAAUGCUUUUUAGGCAUCUCGACAGCCAGAUUUGUAACCUGGCACUCGAGGUUCCCUUAUCGCUGUUGCCAGCAUUGUAAAGUUUUCGCGCCUGCUGCACC
rnacentral:rRNA from 1 species